AGAGGGAGGAAAGGAGCAGCCAAGGCGAAGAUUAAACGGCAGCUAACCACCAGGUCCUCCACCUCCCGCCUCAACUGCCCCUUUCUUCCCUCUGUGGUAACCUGAGGGGGAGCACCAGCGAGGGAAGAGCAGGGGAAGGCCAGCAGCACAGUGGUGGCUGAGCCAUCUUGUCAUCAUAGCAGGACAAGCAUUUUCAACCGUGUCCUCCGUACCCUCCCAUCUUAUUCUAGACACUGUGCUGCCCUCCACUGAAACCCAUCAAAACCUCUCUGCUUGGCCCCCAUCCCCACCCCUUGUUGGAAGAGUGCUCUCUGCUGGUGUCUUUUCUCUUUUAAAGGGCAGAGAUGAGUCCCGGGCUCUGCGGUCUUUUCAGGCGUCCAAAUUAAUUUGCGUCUGGUCAGCAGCGUAAGCAGCACGGGGCUAUUUGAUGAGGGUGUAGGGCAAUGACAUGCACUGGCAGUCAUGCCUUGAUCUCUUGCUUUCUUUCCUUGUCACUUUCC